rnacentral:rRNA from 1 species
UGAACGCUGGCGGCGUGCCUAAUACAUGCAAGUCGAGCGAACAGACGAGGAGCUUGCUCCUCUGACGUUAGCGGCGGACGGGUGAGUAACACGUGGAUAACCUACCUAUAAGACUGGGAUAACUUCGGGAAACCGGAGCUAAUACCGGAUAAUAUAUUGAACCGCAUGGUUCAAUAGUGAAAGACGGUUUUGCUGUCACUUAUAGAUGGAUCCGCGCCGCAUUAGCUAGUUGGUAAGGUAACGGCUUACCAAGGCAACGAUGCGUAGCCGACCUGAGAGGGUGAUCGGCCACACUGGAACUGAGACACGGUCCAGACUCCUACGGGAGGCAGCAGUAGGGAAUCUUCCGCAAUGGGCGAAAGCCUGACGGAGCAACGCCGCGUGAGUGAUGAAGGUCUUCGGAUCGUAAAACUCUGUUAUUAGGGAAGAACAAAUGUGUAAGUAACUAUGCACGUCUUGACGAUACCUAAUCAGAAAGCCACGGCUAACUACGUG